rnacentral:lncRNA from 1 species
CCCAAUCUAGUCUGGAAAGACGUAAGAGGAUCAUUGUCAACAGAUGACGGUAUACCUUUGACGAGAGUGGUAACGCGAAUAUCUGUUAAGAGCCACUAUGGUUGGUAUGGUCGUGGUCGUAGAUCGUACCAUAGUUUGGCCAACCGAAAAUAGAACUGAGCAAAUUGUCGUAUCUGCAUCUGAUAUGAUCAUUCCACUUGCGUAGUU